CUAGCUCCAGCAGGAAGAUGUGUAAUCACAUUAGCACAGUGCUGUGCCUGAAGGAAUAAUCCCUGCUGGAUUUAAGUACCUGCUCUGUCUGGAGAUAUUUGUCUCUUUUGCCUUGCAGUUCAGCUCCCCCAACAUCUCUGGGUUGGAAAGCAUGUGGGAGAGAAGAGAAUGAGAAUGGUCAUGACUGACUGAAGAGUCCUUUUUCCCUUAUCAGUGUGGAGCCUAGGUUUAUUGCUCCAUGCAUUUUUAACGCAAUAGACUGACUCCAAUGCACAGGCAGCUUUGAACUUCGAAGCAAGAGCUUCCUCACCUUUUCUACCCCAUAAAUCUCAGGAAUGAAACCUGUACAGAUAUUUUUGCUGUUGGCUAAAGUUUUGGUAUGAUCUCCAAACAGAAACAGCUCAUUAAGGCGUGCAUACUGCUCUGUCUACUGAAACUGCCUUCCAACCCAAAAUACAAGUAAGACCCACUAUUUACCAUUUAAUAAUCUCAGAAGCAGUCCAUUUUAAAGCAUCUACUCCUGGAUUACUUUACUUCCAUCUAAUAAAAUAAUUUCCUAAUAUUGUAAUUGUUUACAAGCACUUAAACGCUCUGAAAGAUUUUCAUUCAUUAGCAAUGGAACUGUUUAACCCUUCUAUAAUUUCUGUAGCAAUGUGUAGUAAUAUCAAUAAAAGGCGGCAUUUAAAUACUCAUUGAUUGAUUGAUUUUCUAUUCUUCUUGCUUUGUAGUGGAAGUAAUUUCCAAAGAGUUACCAAUGAGCUGUCAGGAGGUGGCAGGCAACUGAUCUGAUUCCAUGCAAUUUCUUUUUUUACCUGUUUGUGAAUAUUAAACAAGUCUUUAUCCAUUUAAUAACAAUUUAAGAAUACUUGUUGACUUUGUAUCACCCUUAAUAAAUAAAAAAUAAACAAACACUUAUAGUGAGG
rnacentral:lncRNA from 1 species